rnacentral:rRNA from 1 species
GGUCAUUUAGAGGAAGUAAAAGUCGUAACAAGGUCUCCGUUGGUGAACCAGCGGAGGGAUCAUUACCGAGUUUACAACUCCCAAACCCCUGUGAACAUACCACUUGUUGCCUCGGCGGAUCAGCCCGCUCCCGGUAAAACGGGACGGCCCGCCAGAGGACCCCUAAAACUCUGUUUCUAUAUGUAACUUCUGAGUAAAACCAUAAAUAAAUCAAAACUUUCAGCAACGGAUCUCUUGGUUCUGGCAUCGAUGAAGAACGCAGCAAAAUGCGAUAAGUAAUGUGAAUUGCAGAAUUCAGUGAAUCAUCGAAUCUUUGAACGCACAUUGCGCCCGCCAGUAUUCUGGCGGGCAUGCCUGUUCGAGCGUCAUUUCAACCCUCAAGCACAGCUUGGUGUUGGGACUCGCGUUAAUUCGCGUUCCUCAAAUUGAUUGGCGGUCACGUCGAGCUUCCAUAGCGUAGUAGUAAAACCCUCGUUACUGGUAAUCGUCGCGGCCACGCCGUUAAACCCCAACUUCUGAAUGUUGACCUCGGAUCAGGUAGGAAUACCCGCUGAACUUAAGCAUAUCAAUAAGCGGAGGAAAAGAAACCAACAGGGAUUGCCCCAGUAACGGC